CCUAUAUUAAUGGCUCUUAUUCAUAAGUUUCUGGCUCCGGGGAUGGAUUGCUGGGUGUGAUGUUAUAUAUCCAGAUUGGACUAAUAAUAUAUGUACUCCAGUUGGACUACGAAUCCCAUAAUGCCAUUCGCCGAAAUCUGGAAACGAAGAUUCCGUAAAACCUGAAGUGACGUCAUCCAUAGUUACAUAACAUCCGGAAACUGCACCAUAGAAAAUUGAACAUAGAGGUUAAUAUGUAGAUUCAUUUUUUCAAUAUAAACGCUUUACUAUCAUACA